CUGCUUUGCCUUAGAAGGUACGUUGCAUCGCAUUCAGAAGAAGCCCGGGACCGAGUCUGCAUCAGGCUUGUUUAACCCUCACAACAGACCUAUGAAGAAGGCACUAUUAUCACCAUCCCCAUUUUACAGAUGAGGAAAUCAAGUCACGGAGAGGGGGUCUUUCUUACCAUAAUUUCCUCUUCCUGGUCACUUGGGAAGAGGACGCCAAAGAAGAUCUCAAGAUCAACUGCUGAUUUCUCAUCAAGUCGACUGGAAACCCAAGACCUUAACCCAGAUCCACAAAUAUGAGAAGGAACCACUUAACCCAGAGAGUUUUGGGGGAAUCAGAGCCUGCUAUUAUAGGAGGGAACUCAUGGAGGACAGGACAGAAACUUGCAUUCAAAUCAAGAGACAAACUUUGGCGUCAUUCAUUCAUUCCAAAAAAUCGAGCUCCUGCUACGUGGCCAUGUGCAGGCUCUGGGAACACCGUGGUGAGUGGAAUUUGUACCUGGUCCCUGCCUUCGUGGGGCUUAGACUCCAAGAGCCCUGACCUAGUCUACUAAGGUGUGAAGUGGUCAGGGAAGUUUGCCAGAAGGAAUUGGCAUUUGGGCAGAGUUCCAAAAGAUGAGCAGGUGGAGGGAAGAGGAUGUGCAAAGUCCUUGCGGCAGGAAGAAAGCAGUGGCUUUGAGGGGGUGGAAGAGGGCAAGACUGGAGGACUGAGCAUGAGGAGCGGACAGUCCAGGGUGCGGCUGGACAGAUGGCAGGGCCUCAUGGGCCCAGGAGCAGUGGGAGCCACUGAGGGGGCUUUUCAGGCGAGCUGGUGACGGGCACUACGGGGGCUGGUUAGAGGCUCUCUGGUGUAAAAUGGACUGAAAGAGCAGGACUGAAUUCCAAGGGCUGAUUUCUGAGGGGACAGCUGCAGGAACCCAAGUGAAAAAUGCUGCUGGCUUGUACUCAGGUGCUGGGGGUAGAGAAGGAAAGAUGUGGGUGGACCAUGAUUUAUACGUGAGGGGAAGUGAUCCAACUUGGGGAUUGUUAGUGCAGAAGAGGGAGGACUCCAAAUGCUUUGCCAGUGACUGUCUUGCUGAAUGAGAUGGCAGUGGUGCUAUUCAUGGAGCACAGGGGGGACGUUUUUGGGAGGAAAAGCCUGAGGGUGGUGCCCUGAGACAGCUGAGUGGGCUGGUGGCUGGGGCUUUGGGUUAAAUACCCUGCUGCAAUCAGUGCUGUGUUAGCUAAAAACUGAGUCACAUGGUACAUCUCUUCUUAAGGGACUGAAUGUUGGAAUUUACAAAAUG